rnacentral:rRNA from 1 species
ACACAUGCAAGUCGAGCGGAUGAAGGGAGCUUGCUCCUGGAUUCAGCGGCGGACGGGUGAGUAAUGCCUAGGAAUCUGCCUGGUAGUGGGGGAUAACGUCCGGAAACGGGCGCUAAUACCGCAUACGUCCUGAGGGAGAAAGUGGGGGAUCUUCGGACCUCACGCUAUCAGAUGAGCCUAGGUCGGAUUAGCUAGUUGGUGGGGUAAAGGCCUACCAAGGCGACGAUCCGUAACUGGUCUGAGAGGAUGAUCAGUCACACUGGAACUGAGACACGGUCCAGACUCCUACGGGAGGCAGCAGUGGGGAAUAUUGGACAAUGGGCGAAAGCCUGAUCCAGCCAUGCCGCGUGUGUGAAGAAGGUCUUCGGAUUGUAAAGCACUUUAAGUUGGGAGGAAGGGCAGUAAGUUAAUACCUUGCUGUUUUGACGUUACCAACAGAAUAAGCACCGGCUAACUUCGUGCCAGCAGCCGCGGUAAUACGAAGGGUGCAAGCGUUAAUCGGAAUUACUGGGCGUAAAGCGCGCGUAGGUGGUUCAGCAAGUUGGAUGUGAAAUCCCCGGGCUCAACCUGGGAACUGCAUCCAAAACUACUGAGCUAGAGUACGGUAGAGGGUGGUGGAAUUUCCUGUGUAGCGGUGAAAUGCGUAGAUAUAGGAAGGAACACCAGUGGCGAAGCGACACCUGGACUGAUACUGACACUGAGUGCGAAAGCGUGGGAGCAAACAGGAUUAGAUACGUGGUAGUCACGCCGUAAACGAUGUCGACUAGCCGUUGGGAUCCUUGAGAUCUUAGUGGCGCAGCUAACGCGAUAAGUCGACCGCCUGGGGAGUACGGCCGCAAGGUUAAAACUCA